UAGUCCACGCCGUAAACGAUGGGUGCUAGUUAUCGGAACUUGCUUUCGGUGACGUAGCUAACGCGUUAAGCACCCCGCCUGGGGAGUACGGUCGCAAGAUUAAAACUCAAAGGAAUUGACGGGGACCCGCACAAGCGGUGGAGCAUGUGGUUUAAUUCGAUGCAACGCGAAGAACCUUACCACCUCUUGACAUCCUGAUCGCGAGAAGCAGAGAUGCAUCUCUUCAGCUCGGCUGGAUCAGUGACAGGUGUUGCAUGGCUGUCGUCAGCUCGUGUCGUGAGAUGUUGGGUUAAGUCCCGCAACGAGCGCAACCCUUGUCUUUAGUUGCCAUCAUUAAGUUGGGCACUUUAAAGAGACUGCCGGUGACAAACCGGAGGAAGGUAAGGAUGACGUCAAGUCAGCAUGCCCCUUAUGCUCUGGGCUACACACGUGCUACAAUGGCCGUGACAAAGAGUUGCUACUUUGUGAAAACAAGCUAAUCUCAUAAACGCGGCCU
rnacentral:rRNA from 1 species